AGCAUUACAUCACUUUCCCACCAAGGGAUCCUGUACAGUGAAUGGGUGCCGUCGGAAGGAGAGUUCAAACAGCUGAUAAAAACAUCACAAUGAUCCACAAGCAGUCGCGUAGCUACGGGUGGGCCUGGGCACACCCACUUUCAUCUGUGGCCCACCCAAUGAGAAGUUUGUAAUUUUCCAAAUGGAUGUAAUUUAUUAAACGAUACUAAUAAACGUCUUAUUUCACUGUAACUUUAUUUAUUAACAAUAUUAAACGCUUGUUUUCAUGGUCAAUUACAGGUCGUUUUCCCUCUUCCUAUAGGUGCAUCAUAUGCUUGUCAAAAUGAUGAUUCGUCCGUUUCUGUUAGUCCCACCCACAAUGUUAUGUUUACGACGUACGGAUAUAAUAGUAAAAUACGCGCGUUUGUGAAGUUAAAUUUGAAAAUAGCCUAGUGAAGCAAACAUAAAUCAGAUCAAUUCUUUAAAAAAAAGUAAAAGUCUUAGCAAUAAAUCCGGACCGUCUACAAAUGAAACCCGACAGACCACCUGAGGGUGCUGAAUUUACCCAUCGGAAACUUCUGAACCAAGCGUGUUUGAAACAUCAUAUUAGCAUAGGUACAGUAUUUGAUCCGCUAAACAGAUGCGUCCUUUGUGGAAAGAAACACAAACAUUGUGCUAGAUCCUGGUCGCCACAACAAACUGCAUAUUUUGCAGCUGCGCACAUUUCUGCGGUCCUCGAUGCGCGUGAACUGACAGAGACGUUUGAUCAUGAAAUCAUCAGCGAAGCCCCGUUGUUUCACACUGAGCUGUUUAAACUCUCAUUCUGACGGCACCCAUUCACUGCAGAGAAUCCAUUGGUGAGUAAGUGAUGCAAUGCUAAAUUCCUCCAAAUGUGUUCUGAUGAAGAAACAAAUUCAUCUACAUCUUGGAUGGCCUGAGGAGACAGUAAAGGAGAUGACAGGAAAGGACAGGAGGGGGAGAACAGGAUCAAGUAUUUGCAUCACACAGAGGAAAUGCAUUUCACCAGAUUUAUGAGCUACUGUAACAACUGUUAGAUAAUAACAAUAAAACUCAAUGUUUAUUUGGAAUCCAAAUGAGUUGCACCAGUACCUCAGAACAUAUCUUAAAAGAUAAAAAUAUAAAGUCUUGGAGCCUAACAAGUAUUUGCAGGCCUUUUCAAAGCAGUCUUUCGGAAAGCUCUCUGCUCAUUUACGCUGCUGCUUUUCAAGGUCUUCGCUUUAUAAUAAAAGCAUGUUUUUCAGCCUCAAAUUAAACACAUUCAGAGUGCUCCAAGCUGAUAUACUGCAAAGGGCAUUACUAAUCUCUUGGUCCUUUUCAGCGGAUCAGUACAAAUGAGAAAAUUGUACCUAUAUAGACUUUUCAAGGCUAUGUUAGGUACAAAAACAAUUGCUUUGGAAGCAAACUAUUAUUUAACAUGGCUCCUAAAAGCAGUGACUAACUGUCCAAUUAAAUACCUUUUUUACAGUUGACUUUUCUGCUGACGUUUAUGCAUGCAAAACAUAAAAAAAUAGUCAAAUGAACAACAUAAAAGU